rnacentral:lncRNA from 1 species
UUCUUCUUUUCUGGGCUUGGUCCCAAAACCUCAUAAACAUCAUCAAUGUGUUCUCUUCUCCUGGCCAUAAGGACCAUGUUACACAUAACAUGCACAUCACUUUCUUUGCUCACAUGGUCCUCCACACACUAAUCAACUUCCAAAUAGGUACAAACACAAAUACACAAACACAAAGGAGAUACAAACUUAUGAAUAAACUUAAUUAAGGAUGAGAUUAUUUCGUUAAUCACUUGGACUUGAAUGGAAUUGCCCUGAUCACGACGACGUGGUACAAUGCCGCAAGUGCUGCUCCGAUGAAUGGUCCUACCCAGUAGAUCCACUGCCACCAAAUAAACGUUAUUAGUGUCGACGAAUUAGUGAUAAGUAAAAAAAAAUGGUUGAUUAAAGUUUUCGAGAUUUUAAUUACGUGAUCAUGCCAUGCUUGGUCCUGGUUAUAGAUGAUGGCCGCGCCCAAACUCCUGGCGGGGUUGAUUCCUGUUCCGGUGAUGGGAAUUGUGGCCAAGUGUACCAAGAACACCGCGAAUCCUAUAGGCAACGGUGCCAAGAUCUGAUCACACAACAUUAAGUCCGAUUAGUAUGAAUUUAAUUAAAUUUAUAACUAAUCCAAUUAAGUCUGAUUCCCGUAAAUUUAAUUAACUUGUGACUAGUCCGAUUAAGUCCUACUAGCAGUGAAUUAUUACUAAACAUAGAAAUACUCUAAAAAAAUUAGGAACAAAAAUUUAGAAGCUUACAGGGACGUGAGAGUCUCUGGCGCUACGCUUGGCAUCAGUGGCGGAGAAGACGGUGUAAACAAGCACGAAAGUUCCGACAAUCUCGGCACCGAGACCAUCACCUUUGGUGUAGCCAUGAGCCACAACAUUAGCACCACCACCCUUAUCAGUAAACACUCUCUUCCCCUCGAACCCUUUAACCACUCCAGCCCCGCAGAUCGCACCCAAGCACUGCAUCACCAUGUAGUACACAGCCCUGGUCAAAGUCAACUUCCUCGCCAGAAACA